AUGCGAUACGUAAUGUGAAUUGCAGAAUUCAGUGAAUCAUCGAAUCUUUGAACGCAUAUUGCGCUCUUUGGUAUUCCGAAGAGCAUGCUUGUUUGAGUAUCAGUAAACACCUCAAAGCUUUUGAUUUUUUUUUGAAAGCUUUGGACUUGAGCAAUCCCAACACCAAUCUUUUUUAGAUUGGAGGCGGGUUGCUUGAAAUGCAGGUGCAGCUGGACAUUCUCCUGAGCUAAAAGCAUAUUCAUUUAGUCCCGUCAAACGGAUUAUUACUUUUGCUGCAGCUAACAUAAAGGGAGUUUGACCGUAUUGGCUGACUGAUGCAGGAUUUCACAGGGGUCGGCAACGACGCUUGUUAAACUCGAUCUCAAAUCAAGUAAGACUACCCGCUGAACUUAA
rnacentral:misc_RNA from 1 species